rnacentral:snRNA from 1 species
GAAUAUACAUGUUGUGCUUGCUUCAAAAUUGGAAUGACACAGAAAAAGAGUUGCAUGGCCUUUGCACAAGAAUUGCACACAAAUGAAGCACCCAAUAUGUUU